UGCAGGGGAGGAUUGGAGGCUUGCAGAUCGGCGAGUUCUUCUUCGGCUAGAGGAGGUUGAAGAAAGAAUGAGACGGGGAUAGAACAGGAGGCGUUGUGCUGGCGUAAUUAUGAUAACCUAGCCCGUUUUGAAAUAUUGGGUGUUAGUUAUUAGUGAUCUGUUGUGGGUUGAUAUAUUUUUUGGGGAAAUUUUUUCGGAAGAACUCCCAAUAUAUAGUUUUGGGAAGAACUUUUUGGGAAACUUUUGGAGUUGCUCUUAGACCCUCUUUGGAUCCACCUCAACUAAAAUUUAGCCAAUUAAAAUUUAAAACUAAAGUUUAGUUGACUAAAGUAGUAGUUGGUUAAAGUUUAGCAAGAUGUGUUUGGAUCCCUUAGAUAAAUGGUUGCUAUAGUCAAUUCUACCCUUAUCUCUCGUCUCUUCUUCUCUCUUAUCCUCUUCUUACUCCACACCUCCACUGCACAUCCAGCUCCUGACGCUCGACCCGUGUUGUCGUCGCGCAAGGAGCUCCGGAUCAGGGUCACCUGGAUGCGGGGCAUCGCUGGGGCCAAGGAUCGGGGGCACCGUCUACUGCCGGCGCAACCGGGCUCACCAUGUUCGUCGAUGACGGAUCCAGGUCGCUACAUCUGGCGGCAGUAGGCACGCCGCGCUGGCUCCGGCGGUGGUGGCGACGGGCGGGGGAUACCAUUUCCUGCAGAAGAAGCGGCCUCCACCACCGCAUGCCGUGCCGCCUCCUUCUCCCCUGCAGCUACGCCGCCGCCACCUCCAGCACCUCCAGCCACCUUCGGCGACCGCCUGGGCAGCGAAGAGGGGCUUAGCGGGGGGCAGAGCAGUGCGGGCGGCGUAGGAGAGGCUCGACCGGCGGCGGCCGCGGGAGCCACGGGCGAUGGGUAUGGGUGGUGUCGACAAUGUGUUGAUGGGUGGCGAUGGGGUGGGGAUCGGGAGCGAGACAAAAGGACCAGAAAGGCGACCAAAGGGGUGAAUGAGAGCCGAUUUAAAUUUUCUUCGAGAACUUUGGCUAAAAUCCCCUAAACCUCUCUUCUAGCAAAAUCAAGUCCACUUACCUAUUCACAAGCUAAUGGACCCAGGAAUGAUGCUAGGGACCCAAAUUGAGAGUAGUGGAAGAAAGAACGAGUCCAAAUGAGUAUCGGAAGAAUGACUUUUAAAACUAACACCUCAGUUCGGAAAAAUCCGGAGGAACCUUCGGAAAAUUCCGGAUAUUCCAAGAUUUCCAGAGAAACCUUCGUAAACUUCCGGAGGUCCGGAAAUUUCCGAAAUAUGCUCUGAAAUAUUUUGGAAUUCCAGAUUUCAGCCUUCGUGAGGAGAGAAGAAAAAUCCGAAACUCGACCAAACGAUCUUCAAAAAUCACGAAAUUUGAACCAUAGCAUCACAAGAUAGUAGAGAAACUAAUACUAAUAAAUCAUCCCUAAACAAUUUGUCAAUAAAAGGGGAAUUAUAAAUCUUGUGAAGAGCACAACUUUUUCAACCUCCAAACUUGAAUCGUCCCGAUCUAUGAACUCAUGAGAUUUCAAUCAAAUCCUUUCAGUGGAAAAGUUCAACUCAUGUCCUAGUUCUUUUCCAAAUAAUUGGUUCCACUCAAAAACCCCCACAAAAUAUGAAUCAAACAAAAACGUGAAAGGGGUGAGAAGGAAGAAACGAAGAACGCGAAGAACACAAACAGGAAUCACAAAUCCAAACGGGAUGGAGCAAGAUGGAACGAAAUAGAUCAUUGGAUUACUUAACCAUGUCCGGUUACAAGGCACUUCUAAGCACAAUCAAAACUUGGAUGGCAAAAAGAUCAACACAAAGAUCCCUCCUCUCUCCCUCUACCAAAGGCUCUCACAAAGUAAAUGAGAAAACCCCCACCAAAAUAACCAAAAGGAUGGCUGCCCCAACCAGCCAUCUCUCAUAUAUAUAGGCACUUGGCUAUUUCCCAAGUUGCCCUUACAUGAAGCAUACAACUCCAAACCCCCUAGGGGCAAAACCGUCCAACUUUUUCUUCACUU
rnacentral:lncRNA from 1 species